rnacentral:rRNA from 1 species
GUGGCAGGGGCGGCGGUAAUACAGAGACCUCAAGCGUUAUCCGGAUUCAUUGGGCGUAAAGGGUCCGCAGGCGGUCCUAUAAGUCAUAUGUCAAAUCUUCGGGCUCAACCCGAAGACUGCGUACGAAACUGUAGGACUAGAGACUGGGAGAGGUACACGGAAUUGUCGGUGUAGCGGUAAAAUGCGUUAAUAUCGACAAGAACACCAAAGGCGAAGGCAGUGUACUGGAACAGAUCUGACGCUCAGGGACGAAAGCGUGGGUAGCGAAAGGGAUUAGAUACCCCUGUAGUCCACGCCCUAAACGAUGAGUGCUAGGUAUUGGGAGUUUCGACCCUCUCAGUGCCGUUGAACCAAGCUAACGCGUUAAGCACUCCGCCUGGGGAGUACGGCCGCAAGGCUAAAACUCAAAGGAAUAGACGGGGACCCGCACAAGCGGUGGAGCAUGUGGUUUAAUUCGACAUUAAGCGAGAUACCUUACCUGGGCUUGAACUAUAGCUGCAAACCUCCCGAAAGGGAGAUUCCUUCGAGGGUGCUAUAGAGGUGCUGCAUGGUUGUCGUCAGCUCGUGGCGUGAGCUGUUCCCUUAAGUGGGGUAACGAGCGCAACCCCUAUCCUGUGUUAUACUUUCGCAGGAGACUGCCUCCGUAAGGGGGAGGAAGGUGGGGACGACGUCAAAUCAGCAUGGCCCUUACGUCCAGGGCUACACACGUGCUACAAUGGCCGGUACAACGGGUUGCCAAACCGCAAGGUGGAGCUAAUCCCUUAAAGCCGGUCUCAGUUCGGAUUGAGGGCUGCAACUCGCCCUCAUGAAGCCGGAAUCGCUAGUAACGGCCGAUCAGCAACGCGGCCGUGAAUACGUUCUCGGGUCUUGUACUCACCGCCCGUCACGUCAAGAGAGUCGGAAACGCCCGAACGUCGCCGUAGGGCGGCGGAAGGUGGAAUCGAUGAUAGGGACGAAGUCGUAACAAGGUAACC